AUUGAACGCUGGCGGCAUGCCUUACACAUGCAAGUCGAACGGCGGCAUGGGUGCUUGCACCUGAUGGCGAGUGGCGAACGGGUGAGUAGUGCAUCGGAACGUACCCGGAAGUGGGGGAUAACGUAGCGAAAGUUACGCUAAUACCGCAUAUUCUGGGAGCAGGAAAGAGGGGGAUCGCAAGACCUCUCGCUUUCGGAGCCGCCGAUGUCGGAUUAGCUAGUUGGCGGGGUAAAGGCCCACCAAGGCAACGAUCCGUAGCGGGUCUGAGAGGAUGAUCCGCCACACUGGGACUGAGACACGGCCCAGACUCCUACGGGAGGCAGCAGUGGGGAAUGUUGGACAAUGGGCGCAAGCCUGAUCCAGCCAUGCCGCGUGAGUGAAGAAGGCCUUCGGGUUGUAAAGCUCUUUCGGCCGGGAAGAAAUCGCACAGGUUAAUACCCUGUGUGGAUGACGGUACCGGAAUAAGAAGCACCGGCUAACUACGUGCCAGCCGCCGCGGUAA
rnacentral:rRNA from 1 species